CAACACUGCUUGUACCUCUGGAGCACAGGGUGCUGAAUUAAGAUCCAGAUAGAGCCAAGGCUCAUGGGAAAAGCUACUAAAAUGUGGAUUGCUAGCCUUUUGAGGACAGCCAUGGCUUCCAUCUGCCUUGGAGCCAGUGUGGCCCAGAAGGUAACCCAAGCUCAGACUGCACUUUCUGUGAAGGAGAAGGAGAGUGUGACUCUGGACUGUGUAUAUGAAACCAGCGAUACUACUUACUACUUGUUCUGGUACAAACAAUUACCAAGUGGAGGAAUGAAUUUCCUUAUUCGUCAGACCUCUUUCAAUGAACAAAAUGUGACAGAGGGUCGGUUUUCUCUGAAUCUACAGAAACCAGUCAAAACCAUCAGCCUCACCAUCAUAGCCUCCCAGCUCACGGACUCAGCAGUGUAUUUCUGUGCUCUGCAAGAGAGCCCACAGUGUUAUGAAUGUCUGCAGAGGCUCUGCCAAAACCUUCACAGGAGGCAGGGCAUCUGAGAAGACAGGAAAAAGCAGAAGCUGGCAGCACAGGUGGGGGUGUAGCAAUGAAACCUUAGUUUAAUUCAUGCAGGGUACCACAUUUAUAUCACUUGUGUAUAUUGGAAGUAUAUGCCUCUUCUUUGUAGUAGAUUGUGAUAAAAUACAUAGCACAUGUAAAAAUAUAAAACAAGAGAGGGCAACAAGAAAAACAACUAACCUUGUUUUGGUUUUAUUGAGGCAGGAAAAUUAACAAAUUAUCCUCAGACAACACGGAUGAUUCUGCUGAUGAGCUGUUAAUUAUUUAUUUAGAAUUAUACAUAGGUUUGUGCAUUCAUUAUCAUGUAGAAUCCUUUAAUCCAUUUGUAAUAUAAAUGCCUUCCUUGGAUGUUUCUCAGAUCAUAUUAUUACUCAAUGAAUAGAGUAAUUUAUUUGAUUUAGACUGCUUCCCACAAUCACACCAGCAACAUCUGGUGUAAUAGAACCUGUGUGAAAGGUUCCUCUAGGGGUUUUUGCUCUGUUGGUGCUUCCUCCCCCAUCACCUACCUUGCUGCUAUGGCAGGAGUUUCCUGAUAUAAACAAAUCUCGUUUCACUCUCUGAAAAAAACCAACAAAUAUUCCUCCAAUUACUUCUCCCUGGAUCAUCUCCUUGUAAUAUGACUGAUAUUUAAAACAUCUAGUUAAUUCUUAUUCAGAGACUACCUACAGAGGGGGAGAUGCCUAAGGUGAGAAUCUGUUCUAACUCAAUGAGUUGCUUGCCUCUCCCUUGCUCCUCCAUGUUCUCUCCAAUUUGCAGCUGAGAAGAGACCAGCAUGUCAACUG